GUCACUUUGCCGGAGUGGUUAACGGGAUCGCCUGCUAAUAUCGGUAAUCAGAUGACUCCGAUCUUCAAAGCGGUUGGGCUUUGCCCGCGUGUGUUCGAAUCGCACAGGUGACG